rnacentral:sRNA from 1 species
UCGGGGCCCACGAAAUGUACGUGCGUGUCGAUGGCGCCGGCGGUCAUGAUCAUGCCGUUGCCGGACAUGAUCUCGGUGGAGGGACCGAUCACCAGGUCGGGGUCGACGCCGUCCAUGGUGUCCGGGUUGCCGGCCUUGCCGAUCCCGCAGAUCCGGCCGCCUCGAACGCCGACAUCGGCCUUGACCACACCCCAGUGGUCCAGGAUCACCGCACCGGUGACGACCAGGUCCGGGGUGCCCUCGGCGCGUGUGACGGUGGACUGCCCCAUCGAUUCG